AGAGUUUGAUCCUGGCUCAGGAUGAACGCUAGCGACAGGCCUAACACAUGCAAGUCGAGGGGCAGCAUUUCUAGCUUGCUAGAAGAUGGCGACCGGCGCACGGGUGAGUAACGCGUAUGCAACCUACCUUAUACUGGGGGAUAGCCCAGAGAAAUCUGGAUUAAUACCGCAUAACAAUGUAUUAUCGCAUGGUAAUAUAUUUAAAACUCCGGUGGUAUAAGAUGGGCAUGCGUAGCAUUAGAUAGUUGGUGAGGUAACGGCUCACCAAGUCAACGAUGGCUACGGGGUCUUAAAGGAUGGUCCCGCACACUGGUACUGAGACACGGACCAGACUCCUACGGGAGGCAGCAGUGAGGAAUAUUGGUCAAUGGACGCAAGUCUGAACCAGCCAUGUCGCGUGCAGGAUGACGGCCCUAUGGGUUGUAAACUGCUUUUUUUACAGGAAUAAUGUGUCUACGUGUAGCGCUUUGAAGGUACCAUAUGAAUAAGCAUCGGCUAACUCCGUGCCAGCAGCCGCGGUAAUACGGAGGAUGCAGGCGUUAUCCGGAUUUAUUAGGUUUAAAGGGUCCGCAGGCGGACCUAUAAGUCAGUGGUGAAAUCCUGCAGCUCAACUGUAGAACUGCCAUUGAUACUGUAGGUCUUGAGUUUAGACGAGGUAAGCGGAAUGUGUAGUGUAGCGGUGAAAUGCUUAGAUAUUACACAGAACACCGAUUGCGAAGGCAGCUUACUAGACUAUAACUGACGCUGAUGGACGAAAGCGUGGGUAGCGAACAGGAUUAGAUACCCUGGUAGUCCACGCCGUAAACGAUGAUCACUAGUUGUAUGCGAUACAUUGUAUGUGACUGAGCGAAAGCAUUAAGUGAUCCACCUGGGGAGUACGUCGGCAACGAUGAAACUCAAAGGAAUUGACGGGGGCCCGCACAAGCGGAGGAACAUGUGGUUUAAUUCGAUGAUACGCGAGGAACCUUACCUGGGUUUAAAUGUAGAUUGCAUGAUCGGGAAAGAUCUUUCCUUCGGGACUAUUUACAAGGUGCUGCAUGGUUGUCGUCAGCUCGUGCCGUGAGGUGUCGGGUUAAGUCCCAUAACGAGCGCAACCCCUAUCGUUAGUUGCCAUCGGGUCAUGCCGGGGACUCUAACGAGACUGCCAGUGUAAACUGUGAGGAAGGUGGGGAUGACGUCAAAUUAGCACGGCCCUUAUGCCCAGGGCUACACACGUGUUACAAUGGCCGGUACAGAGGGCAGCUACACAGCGAUGUGAUGCCAAUCCCCAAAGCCGGUCUCAGUUCGGAUCGGAGUCUGCAACUCGACUUCAUGAAGUUGGAUUCGCUAGUAAUCGCGCAUCAGCCAUGGCGCGGUGAAUACGUUCCCGGGCCUUGUACACACCGCCCGU
rnacentral:rRNA from 1 species